rnacentral:rRNA from 1 species
AGAUUGAACGCUGGCGGCAGGCCUAACACAUGCAAGUCGAGCGGCAGCACGGGUACUUGUACCUGGUGGCGAGCGGCGGACGGGUGAGUAAUGCCUAGGAAUCUGCCUGGUAGUGGGGGAUAACGCUCGGAAACGGACGCUAAUACCGCAUACGUCCUACGGGAGAAAGCAGGGACCUUCGGGCCUUGCGCUAUCAGAUGAGCCUAGGUCGGAUUAGCUAGUUGGUGAGGUAAUGGCUCACCAAGGCGACGAUCCGUAACUGGUCUGAGAGGAUGAUCAGUCACACUAGGAACUGAGACACGGUCCAGACCUCCGACGGGAGCAGCGAGGUGGGAAUAGUUGGACAAGUGGGACAAAGCCUAGACUCCAGCC